rnacentral:rRNA from 1 species
AGUGAACGCUGGCGGUAGGCCUAACACAUGCAAGUUGAACGGCAGCACAGUAAGAGCUUGCUCUUACGGGUGGCGAGUGGCGGACGGGUGAUGAAUACAUCGGAAUCUACUUUUUCGUGGGGGAUAACGUAGGGAAACUUACGCCAAUACCGCAUACGACCUACGGGUGAAAGCAGGGGAUCUUCGGACCUUGCGCGAUUGAAUGAGCCGAUGUCGGAUUAGCUAGUUGGCGGGGUAAAGGCCCACCAAGGCGACGAUCCGUAGCUGGUCUGAGAGGAUGAUCAGCCACACUGGAACUGAGACACGGUCCAGACUCCUACGGGAGGCAGCAGUGGGGAAUAUUGGACAAUGGGCGCAAGCCUGAUCCAGCCAUACCGCGUGGGUGAAGAAGGCCUUCGGGUUGUAAAGCCCUUUUGUUGGGAAAGAAAAGCAGCAGGUUAAUACCCCGCUGUUCUGACGGUACCCAAAGAAUAAGCACCGGCUAACUUCGUG